rnacentral:lncRNA from 1 species
AAAUGGAAUUUUUUUGGUCUGCAAAGAAAUGAAAAAGAUAACGAUAUGACCACGCACCUCCUCUGCUCUCUCCUUAUAUUCUAUCUCAAUCUCUCGACAGAUUUUUCGGUGUAUAUACACACCACAGCGUGAUUUUUCAGUGUACACUAGUAGUUCAAUGAAUGAUCGCAAUAUUAAAAGAACAAUAUUUAGCUACUAAAAAAUAAGUUAAAAUUUUUAGUCAAAAUUCUUAAUAUUUUAAUUAAAGAGUUUUAUACUUAUGAUCAGAAUCGUUCAUACUAUGAAUCACACUGAAAAUAUCAUCUAUGUAAAAAAUAAAUUAAAACUAAGAUUGUCUAGUCAAUUUAUUGUAACAAAUAUAUUAACGGUUCGUAAUACUUUUACCAAUAUUGUUCAUUUGUUAUCAAACAGUUUGAUGACUUUAUGAUCUUAUUUUUAAUUAAUUUUUGGUAAAGGCGAUCUUUAUAGAAUGAUUUAUAAUUUGAACGAUUAUGAUUAUAAAUAUAAAAUUCUAUAAAUUAACAACGAAUAAUUU